rnacentral:rRNA from 1 species
GAUGAACGCUGGCGGUAUGCCUAACACAUGCAAGUCGUACGAGAGUUUUUAACUCUAGUGGCGGACGGGUGAGUAACACGUGAGAAUUUGCCUUUAGGAGGGGGACAACAAUCGGAAACGAAUGCUAAUACCCCAUAUGCUUUCGAGUGAAAUGGAUUUUAUCCGCCUAGAGAGAAGCUCGCGGCUGAUUAGCUUGUUGGUAAGGUAAGAGCUUACCAAGGCGACGAUCAGUAUCUGGUUUGAGAGGACGAUCAGACACACUGGAACUGAGACACGGUCCAGACUCCUACGGGAGGCAGCAGUGGGGAAUUUUCCGCAAUGGGCGAAAGCCUGACGGAGCAAUACCGCGUGAGGGAAGAAUGCCUAUGGGUUGUAAAGCUCUUUUGUCAGGGAAGAAACAGCAGCUCUAACACAGUCUGCGAAUGACGGUACCUGAAGAAUAAGCACCGGCUAACUACGUGCCAGCAGCCGC